AUCUGUGGCCGAGUGGUUUAGGCACCGGACUCAUAAUCCGUUCUACACUGGUUCAAACCCAGUCAGAUG
rnacentral:ncRNA from 14 species